rnacentral:rRNA from 1 species
AGAGUUUGAUCCUGGCUCAGGACGAACGCUGGCGGCGCGCCUAACACAUGCAAGUCGAACGAGCGAGAGGGAGUUUACUUUCUCGAGCGAGUGGCGAACGGGUGAGUAACGCGUGAGGAACCUGCCUCAAAGAGGGGGACAACAGUUGGAAACGACUGCUAAUACCGCAUAAGCCCACGACCCGGCAUCGGGUAGAGGGAAAAGGAGCAAUCCGCUUUGAGAUGGCCUCGCGUCCGAUUAGCUAGUUGGUGAGGUAACGGCCCACCAAGGCGACGAUCGGUAGCCGGACUGAGAGGUUGAACGGCCACAUUGGGACUGAGACACGGCCCAGACUCCUACGGGAGGCAGCAGUGGGGAAUAUUGCACAAUGGGGGAAACCCUGAUGCAGCGACGCCGCGUGGAGGAAGAAGGUCUUCGGAUUGUAAACUCCUGUUGUUGAGGAAGAUAAUGACGGUACUCAACAAGGAAGUGACGGCUAACUACGUGCCAGCAGCCGCGGUAAAACGUAGGUCACAGCGUGUCCGGAAUUACUGGGUGUAAAGGGAGCGCAGGCGGGAAGACAAGUUGGAAGCGAAAUCCAUGGGCUCAACCCAUGAACUGCUUUCAAAACUGUUUUUCUUGAGUAGUGCAGAGGUAGGCGGAAUUCCCGGUGUAGCGGUGGAAUGCGUAGAUAUCGGGAGGAACACCAGUGGCGAAGGCGGCCUACUGGGCACCAACUGACGCUGAGGCUCGAAAGUGUGGGUAGCAAACAGGAUUAGAUACCCUGGUAGUCACACUGUAAACGAUGAUUACUAGGUGUUGGAGGAUUGACCCCUUCAGUGCCGCAGUUAACACAAUAAGUAAUCCACCUGGGGAGUACGACCGCAAGGUUGAAACUCAAAGGAAUUGACGGGGGCCCGCACAAGCAGUGGAGUAUGUGGUUUAAUUCGACGCAACGCGAAGAACCUUACCAAGUCUUGACAUCCUGCGACGCACAUAGAAAUAUGUGUUUCCUUCGGGACGCAGAGACAGGUGGUGCAUGGUUGUCGUCAGCUCGUGUCGUGAGAUGUUGGGUUAAGUCCCGCAACGAGCGCAACCCUUAUGGUCAGUUACUACGCAAGAGGACUCUGGCCAGACUGCCGUUGACAAAACGGAGGAAGGUGGGGAUGACGUCAAAUCAUCAUGCCCUUUAUGACUUGGGCUACACACGUACUACAAUGGCGUUAAACAAAGAGAAGCAAGACCGCGAGGUGGAGCAAAACUCAGAAACAACGUCCCAGUUCGGACUGCAGGCUGCAACUCGCCUGCACGAAGUCGGAAUUGCUAGUAAUCGCAGAUCAGCAUGCUGCGGUGAAUACGUUCCCGGGCCUUGCACACACCGCCCGUC